GCCUCUAUAGCUCAGUGGCAGAGCGUCUGUCUCGUAAACAGAAGGUCUGCGGUUC
rfam:Ancylostoma duodenale strain Zhejiang A_duodenale-1.0_Cont15524.1, whole genome shotgun sequence.